UUAAUUGACCGCCGGAGGAUCGCCCUUGUAGGCGUCCUCUGGCCCGCGUCUGCCGAUAGCCAACCAUUAAAACUCUGUCUAAAUCGUGUUAUACACUGUCUAAGUACAUUGAUUAUAAUAAGCAAAAACUUUCAACAACGGAUCUCUUGGUUCUGGCAUCGAUGAAGAACGCAGCGAAAUGCGAUAAGUAAUGCGAAUUGCAGAAUUCCAGUGAGUCAUCGAAUCUUUGAACGCACAUUGCGCCCUUUGGUAUUCCGAAGGGCAUGCCUGUUCGAGCGUCAUUAUCACCCCUCAAGCCCCUGUGCUUGGUGUUGGACGGCUUGGUCGGACGACGACCCCUCCUAAAGAUAACGACGGCGGCCUGUGGGACCCCCGGUACACUGAGCUUUUCACCGAGCACGUAUCGGACGAGGGAACCCGGGACCCGGUCAUCUCCCCUCGUGGGAAAACCAUUUCAAGUUUUUGACCUCGGAUCAGGUAGGGAUACGCGC
rnacentral:rRNA from 1 species